rnacentral:rRNA from 1 species
GAUAAUACCCCUGGAAAUUGUUAGUACCUCAGGAGGAAGCCACGGCUAACUCUGUGCCAGCAGCCGCGGUAAUACAGAGGUGGCAAGCGUUGUUCGGAUUUACUGGGCGUAAAGGGUGCGUAGCCGGUCAGGUGUGUCGGGUGUGAAAUCCCACGGUACAUCCGUGGAACUGCAUUCGAAACUACUUGGCUAGAGUGCACGAGAGGAGAGCGCAAUUCUUGGUGUAGCAGUGAAAUGCGUGGAUAUCAAGAGGAACACCGGUGGCGAAGGCGGCUCUCUGGACUGCGACUGACGCUGAGGCACGAAAGCUGUGGGAGCAAACAGGAUUAGAUAUCCUGGUAGUCCCAGCUGUAAACGUUGUACACUUGGUGUAGGCGGAUUGUCCCCGUCUGUGCCGAAGCAAACGCGAUAAGUGUACCGCCUGGGGAGUAGGGUCGCAAGACUAAAACUCAAAGAAAUUGACGGGGGCCCACACAAGCGGUGGAGCAUGUGACUUAAUUCGAUGCAAC